CAGAAAACCAGCAGGCUCCAGGCCUCAUAGGGUAAGAGUUGAAUACUCUUGCACUAAAAUGUAUAAGGCAACAGGCAAAUGCACAAACACUAGAGAAAACUCUGUAAUAUAUUUUUAUUUGCUAUCUAUCUACGUUUUCUCUGGUACUUCUAGAACCACCUGCAACUGGACACGGACAUGUAUAAGAUAACUGGUUUCCAGAAUUGGGAACGAAGAGAGUACUGCCAAUACCAGCUUGGGGGAUUUCUUCUUCAUCUG
rnacentral:lncRNA from 1 species